rnacentral:rRNA from 1 species
UACGUAGGGUGCGAGCGUUGUCCGGAAUUACUGGGCGUAAAGCGCGUGUAGGCUGCUCCGAAAGUCGGAUGUGAAAGCCCUGGGCUCAACCUAGGAAGUGCAUUCGAAACUUCGGAGCUGGAGCCUGGAGAGGAAGGCGGAAUUCUCGGUGUAGAGGUGAAAUUCGUAGAUAUCGAGAGGAACACCGGUGGCGAAGGCGGCCUUCUGGACAGUGACUGACGCUGAGACGGCGAAAGCGUGGGGAGCAAACAGGG